CGCCAGUAGUAUCACGGUGACGAGCAGACGCGGUUGUCUUCUACCUUUCUCGCCGAUUUCUUGGUUUUCGUUCAGUAUCCGCUACGGCCACCCUCGAAACGACGUUCAUCAAUUAUGGACGAGAGACUUCAUCGAUGAGACGGCAUGAUAUCAACGACGAAAAAUGGAUCUGUCGGGUGUAGGACGAACCUUUCGAACCAACACUUUGGGACAAACGUUUCGCACGAAUGAGGGGAAGGAACGUUCAGAAGGAACAGUUGGAACGAAUACUUGGAACGAACACUUGGAACAAACGGUAGGUUGUUUUCACGAAAAUAAUCGGCCACCACGCUUCAAUCUUGUUCUACAAUCGUGCACCAAGUGUUCUUCCUAUAAUUGAAUAUCUCGUUCCGUUGUAUCGGUGUAUCGAACAUCUUGAAGAGGCCAGGAGUUCUCUGGUUCUCUCUAACUCGCUACCGUAACACGAUUGAAAUAUGCAGAAUACGGUGUUCCGCGGUGGGAAUAAAUAUUGGACGCUCGAAGUUUGGUAUCCUCUACAAUAGAUGAAAUGUAAAUGACACGAAUGUACCUAUCAAAUAAAUUCCAAACUGUUCGGUA